GUCACCCCUUUCUCUGACUAGGAAAGGGAACUCCCUGACCCCUUGCGCUUCCCGAGUGAGGCAAUGCCUUGCCCUGCUUCAGCUCGCGCACGGUGCGCGCACCCACUGACCUGCGCCCACUGUCUGGCACUCCCUAGUGAGAUGAACCCGGUACCUCAGAUGGAAAUGCAGAAAUCACCCGUCUUCUGCGUCGCUCACGCUGGGAGCUGUAGACCAGAGCUCUUCCUAUUCGGCCAUCUUGGCUCCUCCGUUCCGUCUAUGAGUCCAACCAGGAUGGCGACUUGACUGGAUUUUACAGUUUCAUUGACACGCAUGAGCUCUAUCAAACUUCUGGGAGUUUUUCUGAAAUGUUUACACGGAAGGCACCUGGAGCCCAUUGAAUUUCCCUCUUCAAAUGCUUAAGUUUUCUUCUGUCUUGGUGGCUACUGCCUCCUUCUCACUUUCUGCCUUAGGUCAAGAUAAAUGAGUUUUUCACCAAGAAAGCCAUAUGGAUCUCUGAGGUUUUGAACUCUAACCAAUGCUAUCUCAUUGAUUGCCUUUGGAUUUCAGGGUCUUAUUUUACGUCAACCUCAGCCUCUCUCUUCUGCAGUUCCAUAUCCGCAUGAGCUACAAGAGUCCCAUGUAGGUCCCUUCCUCUGCUAAUAGCUGCCUCAUUGUACUGCUUCUGUGUUCACUUUAGAGAUAGAGGAUCAAAUGGUAGAAACUUUUGGCAAACUUUUGACCAGAGAAUGGCUUACAUGGGAAUUAAUUAUGCACUUGUUCGUUUUACUCUAUAGAACAAUCCCAUCUGUAUUGGAUCUGUAUGUUCCAUCUCCCAUGUGAAAGAAGCACCCUACAAAGAUAACUUCAGUCUGGGCACAGUGGUUCACACCUGUAAUCCCAGAACUUUGGGAGCCUGAGUGGGGAGGAUCUUUUGAGCCCAGGAGUUCGAGACUAGUCUGGGCAACAAAGAGAGACCCUGUUUCUAAAACAAAAACAAAAACAAAGAUAUCUUCAGAGCCUGUUCAGUCUUUGGUCCUGGUUUAGAUAUAGGUAUAUAGAGAGAGCUAUUUGAGUAAUCAAUUCCCAAUAUGGUAUGAUUUGAGCAUUUGGAGAGGUCUUCUUUACAUAUCAUAGUCCUUAGAUUAUUACCAAUAAAUAUUUUUCUUUUGGGGUUAACAUUACAGUAAUAAUAUAUUUUGAAUCUAAAAUUUGGAUGGAGACACAGGACACAGAAUAUAUAAUGCUCAAAAAAUGUAAUGCUCAAUGAAGUGAAUGUCUCUAUCAUAUUCUUUUUUGUUGUUGUUGUUGUUAUAUAGAUGAGGCCUUCCUAUAUUGUCCAGGCUGGUCUCAAACACCCAGCUUUGCCUCCUUAUGUGCCAGGAAAACAGGCCUGAGCCACCAAGACUCUCAAUAUAUUAUUAAAAUAUAAACAAAUUACUUGAAGUGGUACCCCUCAAAAUAAUGUCAUUUUCACUUUAAUGUAAAUUAGUCUUACUAUAAAAUCACUUUCCUGCUUUCAACAAGUUGCAAUGUAAGACGGGACAUUCUCUGAAAUGGAGAGAAGAUAAACAUGAAGUAAGAAGCUUUGUCCCCAGCAGGCUUUUCCUGGCAGAAAAUAUGGACAUCUGGGUGGUGUCAUAGUCAGGAGGCCAGGAGGAAGGAUUUGCCAAAAUGGGUAAACUGGGCAGUGCAUGAAAACUGGUGCCUUUUCUCCUAUGGGCCAUCAUCCUGUUGAUAGUGAGGUACCAAGAGAAGUGCUGACGGUAAAGCCCUGUGUCCUCCCCAUCCAUGAUCUUGGCCGAAAGCAUUAACCCCCGAAGAGUCUCGGUGCUUCUAGAGACUUCCUGGUCUGAAGUGACUGCCUGUUGUGGACAAAAGCUGAAAACAAACAACAUAAAAACAAACUAAAAAGGUCAGUUACUCAAGGAUCUAGACAACUAGCCAACACCUCCACAAACAAAUGGGAGCUUAAUAGACUUCGCAAAAUUACUUUUUAUCUAGUUGUUUUUUUUUUUUUUUUUUUGCUUAUUUAAUAAAGUUGAAAAUACAA
rnacentral:lncRNA from 1 species